UACGAGGGGGGCAAGCGUUGUCCGGAAUUAUUGGGCGUAAAGAGCUCGUAGGCGGUCUGUCGCGUCGGCUGUGAAAACCCGGAGCUCAACUCCGGGCCUGCAGUCGAUACGGGCAGACUGGAGUUCGGCAGGGGAGACUGGAAUUCCUGGUGUAGCGGUGAAAUGCGCAGAUAUCAGGAGGAACACCGGUGGCGAAGGCGGGUCUCUGGGCUGACACUGACGCUCAUGCACGAAAGCGUGGGGAGCAAACAGG
rnacentral:rRNA from 1 species